rnacentral:rRNA from 1 species
UUGAUUGAUGGUGCUUGCACCUGAUUGAUUUUGGUCGCCAACGAGUGGCGGACGGGUGAGUAACACGUAGGUAACCUGCCCAGAAGCGGGGGACAACAUUUGGAAACAGAUGCUAAUACCGCAUAACAACGUUGUUCGCAUGAACAACGCUUAAAAGAUGGCUUCUCGCUAUCACUUCUGGAUGGACCUGCGGUGCAUUAGCUUGUUGGUGGGGUAACGGCCUACCAAGGCGAUGAUGCAUAGCCGAGUUGAGAGACUGAUCGGCCACAAUGGGACUGAGACACGGCCCAUACUCCUACGGGAGGCAGCAGUAGGGAAUCUUCCACAAUGGGCGCAAGCCUGAUGGAGCAACACCGCGUGAGUGAAGAAGGGUUUCGGCUCGUAAAGCUCUGUUGUUAAAGAAGAACACGUAUGAGAGUAACUGUUCAUACGUUGACGGUAUUUAACCAGAAAGUCACGGCUAACUACGUGCCAGCAGCCGCGGUAAUACGUAGGUGGCAAGCGUUAUCCGGAUUUAUUGGGCGUAAAGAGAGUGCAGGCGGUUUUCUAAGUCUGAUGUGAAAGCCUUCGGCUUAACCGGAGAAGUGCAUCGGAAACUGGAUAACUUGAGUGCAGAAGAGGGUAGUGGAACUCCAUGUGUAGCGGUGGAAUGCGUAGAUAUAUGGAAGAACACCAGUGGCGAAGGCGGCUACCUGGUCUGCAACUGACGCUGAGACUCGAAAGCAUGGGUAGCGAACAGGAUUAGAUACCCUGGUAGUCCAUGCCGUAAACGAUGAGUGCUAGGUGUUGGAGGGUUUCCGCCCUUCAGUGCCGGAGCUAACGCAUUAAGCACUCCGCCUGGGGAGUACGACCGCAAGGUUGAAACUCAA